UGCGGAGGGUGCAAGCGUUAUCCGGAUUCACUGGGUUUAAAGGGUGCGUAGGUGGGCAGGUAAGUCAGUGGUGAAAUCUCCGAGCUUAACUCGGAAACUGCCGUUGAUACUAUUUGUCUUGAAUAUUGUGGAGGUAAGCGGAAUAUGUCAUGUAGCGGUGAAAUGCUUAGAUAUGACAUAGAACACCAAUUGCGAAGGCAGCUUACUACACAACGAUUGACGCUGAGGCACGAAAGCGUGGGGAUCAAACAGG
rnacentral:rRNA from 1 species